GUGCCAGACUCCUACGGGAGGCAGCAGUGGGGGAUAUUGCACAAUGGGGGGAACCCUGAUGCAGCGACGCCGCGUGGGUGAAGAAGCGCCUCGGCGCGUAAAGCCCUGUCAGCAGGGAAGAAAAUGACGGUACCUGAAGAAGAAGCCCCGGCUAACUACGCGCCAGCAGCCGCGGUAAUACGUAGGGGGCAAGCGUUAUCCGGAUUUACUGGGUGUAAAGGGGGCGCAGACGGCGAUGCAAGCCAGGAGUGAAACCCCGGGGCUCAACCCCGGGCAUGCAUUGGAAACUGGCGGGCUGGAGUGCCGGAGAGGUAAGCGGAAUUCCUAGUGUAGCGGUGAAAUGCGUAGAUAUUAGGAGGAACACCAGUGGCGAAGGCGGCUUACUGGACGGCAACUGACGCUGAGGCUCGAAAGCGUGGGGAGCAAACAGGAUUAGAUACCCCGGUA
rnacentral:rRNA from 1 species